AAGUUUACCUGGAUUGCAGGCUGCAUGGUCAUCCACACUGAGACGAAACUUCUAUUCUGGAGAAGGAAGACGGCAUUAGAUGGGUGCCAGAGUGACUGCUCCCCCAAACCCCAAACAUAGGACGAGGCACGCGAUUUCCUGCCUCUUCGUCAGAUCUGAGCCCUUCCCGUCUAGUCAGAGUAAAUACAAUGAGAACUGGGAGGUGACUCCUCACUUCUACCCGCGUAAGGGCGCCUGCUACUUGGUCCAGAAAGGCCUGAAACACUUUGGUGCACCAUCCCUGGUGUCACACAGAAUUCAUGGCACAUGUGUCUUUUCCUGUGUAAAAUAAUGUGAAAGGAUGUAAAUGUACCUCCCCCCCAAUCGAUACUGAGACCUAGGCGUCUUUCGUCUCUGUGCUGACCACGUCUUUAUGAGUCGUAUGGACUUUAUGACUCACGUGCUUAGCCAUAAGCUUUUUCUGCUAGAUAAGAAGACAGCGAGGUUAGCUAUCAAUUUCAACUGUGACUUAAGAGUACUCACUACCUUCCCGAGAAGAUCUGUCAAAAACCCAAAGAGGCGGCCG
rnacentral:lncRNA from 1 species